CGUUAGUAUACUCACUUUGCAGACGAGGAGACUGAGUCCUGGAGUAGGUGUAUAUGCUGGAGCAGCUGUACUUAAGUCCAGAAAUAAGAAGAUAUUUGAUCUGAGGACUCAGGAGAGAGCAUGGCUGCUGCAUAGAUGGUGCCUUCCAUCGCUUGACAUAGGGAAGCCCAGCCAAAGCCUGUGUCUUGGGCAGCCGGGGAGCUCUCAGGAUGGCUUGAAAUCUCCCACAUGGCCUGGGCCUGUUCUCCUUCCCCUCCAGCUCUCCUGGGUGCAGUCAAAGCUUCACUCCCUACACCCUACUGAACUAUCAGCUGACUGAUUCCCACUUGUCCAUGCCCCAGGACCCCACAGAAGCUCCACAUGCUUCCACAAGCUGAUGCACCAGUUCCAAGAGGAGGAAGAAAAGCUGGCACUCAGCCUUUAUUUCUCCCCAAACACCACAGUCAUUCAAUUCUGAAAAAAAAAAAAAAAAAAAAACCCAUUGCUUUGAAAAACAUAAAAUGAGAUCUAUCAAACAGCAUCUUGUAUUUUAAAGUGGAAAGAAUGGACUUUGGAAUCAUCUUUGGCAGCUAAUAGGCUGGGACACGCAGAGAAAGAGCUUGCCUGCCUCUGCAGACAUUCCUUGGACGAGUGGUUCUAAAUCCCAGCUACACACUCAAAUAGCUGCAGGAGGUUUAAAAACUGUCAAAUCUCCCAGCCCCUGCCCAGCCCAGUCAAUAUUUAUCUCAGGAGGAGGAGCCCUAAAACCAGUGUCUUUUCACAGAGCUCCCUACAUGACUUUGAUGUGUGGCCAGGUGAUAUCUCCUGAGUUCGGAGACACUGAUGCUAUCACUCACACCUAGUCAAAUGAGAGGAGUCGGGGAUGACAGAAGAAUGCAGGCAACUUACCUACCUGAAGCUGGGGCCUCAAGGUCACCAUGCCCUUGAGUGAGCCCUGUAUGGGUCUACCUUGUGUCUGAUGGUUCUCAGCAGGCACAGCUUCUCUUCAGGGCUUCUGCCGACAUCUUCCCUGCAUGUGGAAAAUGGCCUGGGGUCCCCUUAGACUCAGCUCAUGUCCUCCCCUUUGCUCAGGUUCCCUCUGAGUCCCGGUACCCGCCCAUGCUGCAGACCUCCUCAUGACUCCUUCCUCCCUGAGGCCUGGCCAUCUGCACACCCCCAUCCUAUCCUGUCAGCUUGUUUUUUGUCUCUUUGGUGACCAGACAUGAACCCCUCAAGGCUGUUCCCUCCACAUCCCCAGCGCUCAGUUUCAG
rnacentral:lncRNA from 1 species